GAUGAACGCUGGCGGCGUGCCUAAUACAUGCAAGUCGAGCGAACAGACGAGGAGCUUGCUCCUCUGACGUUAGCGGCGGACGGGUGAGUAACACGUGGAUAACCUACCUAUAAGACUGGGAUAACUUCGGGAAACCGGAGCUAAUACCGGAUAAUAUAUUGAACCGCAUGGUUCAAUAGUGAAAGACGGUUUUGCUGUUACUUAUAGAUGGAUCCGCGCCGCAUUAGCUAGUUGGUAAGGUAACGGCUUACCAAGGCAACGAUGCGUAGCCGACCUGAGAGGGUCGUCGGCCAGCCUGGAACUGAGGCAGGGUCCCGACUCCUACGGGAGGCAACAGUAGGGAAUCUUCCGCAAUGGAGGAAAGCUUGACGUAGCAACACGGCGUGAGUGAUGAAGGUCUUCGGAUCGUAAAACUCUGUUAUUAGGGGAGAACAAAUGUGUAAGUAACUGUGCACGUCUUGACGGUACCUAAUCAGAAAGCCACGGCUAACUACGUG
rnacentral:rRNA from 1 species